CACGUAGGGGGCAAGCGUUGUCCGGAUUUAUUGGGCGUAAAGAGCUCGUAGGCGGUUCGGUAAGUCGGGUGUGAAACCUCCAGGCUCAACCUGGAGACGCCACCCGAUACUGCUGUGACUAGAGUCUGGUAGGGGGGAUCUGGAAUUCCUGGUGUAGCGGUGGAAUGCGCAGAUAUCAGGAGGAACACCGGUGGCGAAGGCGGGAUCCUGGGCCAGUACUGACGCUGAGGAGCGAAAGCGUGGGGAGCAAACAGG
rnacentral:rRNA from 1 species